rnacentral:rRNA from 1 species
UACAGAGGUCCCGAGCGUUGUUCGGAAUUACUGGGCGUAAAGCGUGCGCAGGCGGCUUCUCAAGUCAGGGGUGAAAGCCCAGAGCUUAACUCUGGAAUUGCCUUUGAGACUGAGAGGCUUGAGUACGGGAGAGGUGAGUGGAAUUCCCAGUGUAGAGGUGAAAUUCGUAGAUAUUGGGAAGAACACCGGUGGCGAAGGCGGCUCACUGGCCCGUAACUGACGCUCAUGCACGACAGCGUGGGGAUCAAACAGG